rnacentral:lncRNA from 1 species
UGUAGAUCAUUCCACAGAAGAUUUUCACUUAGAAACCAUUUAACAGAUUUUGUUCAUGACACUAUAUCAAACAAAAAUACUGUUAAACAAUUUCCUGGUUUUCAACACAACAUAAGUAGGAUAAAAGAGAACUUGUUGACAAGGUAAAUCAACAUAAAGUUAAUUGAAAUAUCCAAACAGCACUCACUGCUCAAAAUCUAAACAUUAGGACACUGACCCCUCUAUAUGGUUUAUAUAAUAGUUUAUGAAUGUCAAGAUUACACAAUAAAAUUCUGCAGAUCAAUCUUGCUUACCUCCUUCGCUUUUUCUUUUUCUUCUUCAUAAUAAACAACAAACGAUUUCGCACCACCGCGAUGGUCGAUCACUUUUCUUUUCCUACUAGCAGAAUUCUUCUCGCUUAAUUUCUGUCAUCCACAAGAGCAAUAGACCAUCCAAGUCAUUCAACAAAAAAUUCUGGGUUUAAACGUAACAAGCCACAAUGAAAUACAUGUGAGACUGAAAAUAGCCAUUAAACAAGCCAAUGUAUAAAUGAAAAGUAAUACUUUACUAAUUUCUGUUUGUCUACCUUAAUGAAACUCAGACCCAUAGCCAUAAGUGGUGACACAGUGCUUAUAUGAACUCUUUGAAUAUAAUCAAUCUCUAAGAACAAAAUAAAAUGAUCACCUUGAAGUCUGCAGAUUCGAACCAAGUACAUAUCUCAGCCCAAGGACCCUGAGCAAUAUGUUUUGGAGGUUUGGCCCUGAUACACUAGCAGCAAAUAUCAUACCCAAUCUAGUAUGGAUAUAGUACUUGGUUCAUUUUUUCUUAUGCAAUUGUGAGUUUUUCUUUGUUUUAUAUUCUAAUCUAUCAUGUUUCUAAAACUAGAGUUUGAUAAUUAACUAU